GACGAACGCUGGCGGCGUGCCUAAUACAUGCAAGUCGAACGCACUCUCGUUUAGAUUGAAGGAGCUUGCUCCUGAUUGAUAAACAUUUGAGUGAGUGGCGGACGGGUGAGUAACACGUGGGUAACCUGCCCUAAAGUGGGGGAUAACAUUUGGAAACAGAUGCUAAUACCGCAUAAAACCUAACACCGCAUGGUGUAGGGUUGAAAGAUGGUUUCGGCUAUCACUUUAGGAUGGACCCGCGGUGCAUUAGUUAGUUGGUGAGGUAAAGGCUCACCAAGACCGUGAUGCAUAGCCGACCUGAGAGGGUAAUCGGCCACACUGGGACUGAGACACGGCCCAGACUCCUACGGGAGGCAGCAGUUAGGGAAUCUUCCACAAUGGACGAAAGUCUGAUGGAGCAACGCCGCGUGAGUGAGAAAGGUUUUCGGAUCGUAAAACUCUGUUGUUGGAGAAGAAAUGUAACUCUGAUAGUAACUGAUCAGGUAAGUGACGGUAAUCCAACCAGAAAG
rnacentral:rRNA from 1 species